UACGUAGGUCCCGAGCGUUGUCCGGAUUUAUUGGGCGUAAAGCGAGCGCAGGUGGUUUAUUAAGUCUGGUGUAAAAGGCAGUGGCUCAACCAUUGUAUGCAUUGGAAACUGGUAGACUUGAGUGCAGGAGAGGAGAGUGGAAUUCCAUGUGUAGCGGUGAAAUGCGUAGAUAUAUGGAGGAACACCGGUGGCGAAAGCGGCUCUCUGGACUGUAACUGACGCUGAUGCUCGAAAGUGUGGGUAUCAAACAGG
rnacentral:rRNA from 1 species